ensembl:lincRNA Hotair HOX transcript antisense RNA (non-protein coding)
AGCUGGCAGGGAGUGGAGCCAGAGGCAGAAAAGGAGAGAAAAGUUUCCUGCCGUCUUCAUUAGUUGACUUCCCAGUCCACAGCCACAGCUUCCCGGGGCUGCAGAAUUCACUCUCAAUAAAGAAAGGAGGCUUAAAAAAAAAAAAAAGUCCUGUGUUUACAAGACCAGAAAUGCCAGCGCUAAGUCCUUCCAGAGAGAAAGGCUGAAAUGGAGGACCGACGCCUUCCUUAUAAGCUCAUCGGAGCACGAUAGAAAAGCAACUGUAAAGGCAGAGAGAGUAAGAGCGGAAGGAAGGAAGUCAGCGCCAACGUAGACCAAAAGGAACCACCCAGAAAUGUAGAAAAAGGAACCGGCAGAGGUCCCCAACAUCGGUAGAAGGACAGAAGACACGCACGGAGAAAGGUUUAUGUUUUGUUUUGUUGUUUUUUAAAUUUCAACUUGGAGCUCAAUGAAGAAAAGGCAAAAUAUAGGCCAGUGGACCAGAGGACCGGAAGAGGACCAGUCAUAGCUCACAGUGUGCCGGGUCCAGAUGGAAGGAACUCCAGACAAACCCCAGUGGCAGGAUAGGCACAGUCCUGAAGGCUGGGGGCUCGCCCCUUGAAACCCUCUUCGCAGGCUGCCUGAGUUCUUUUGCUCUCCUUAUCAUCCCCAUCUUUAUGACGAGGCUUGUUAACAUGACCAGCGAUCUGACCACGCACAUCUAUCUCCACCGCACACGCACUCAGCCGAGCAGCUGAGCUGGGGGGACUGAGAGGCACUAAUUAAUUGAUUCCUUGGACUGUAAAAUAUGGCUGUGUCUACACACACGGAACCUGUGGACUCAUAAACAAUAUGUCUGCAGAUGUGAGUGCACUGUCUCUUAAAGAAUUUUUCUAUAGUUAUGUGCCUAUUAGAAUCCAGGAUUUGAAAGACUCAAAUAAGAUUGCUUUUUCAUAAGCCUCAACACAGUACAAUGUCAGAAAAUUCUGCAAAAACUUGGGUUAUGGAAUAGGUUUUCUCUGCUGUUACUGUAGACACACAAAUUGGCUUCUGACUGCUAAGUGUUAGGAUCAAAAUCAAAGCCCAGCUGAGAAGGCCUGAAUGAAGCCUUUGCCCUUCCUGGGAGAAGGGGAAUGGGCCCAGGUUCAGGCCUUACUUCAUAAUGCUGCUUAGGCUCAAGAUUAUAAUAUUAAUAUAUAUAUAUUUACAAACCCUAACCUAAAGGAGCCUAACCCUAACCCUUACCUAGCUCUCCAGAUCACUGUCCACCCCUUAACUAUCUGCCUUCAUAGAGCAUUGCUAUAACAUGCUUGCAUUAGUCUUGGAAGAAUGUGUCUUGAGAUGCAUAAGUAAAUAGCUCUAACAAUUCUAUAUAAUCAUGAUUCCAUAGUGAAUCUUGAUGCAAAUAGGCGUUAAUAUGUUCUCAACAGAUACCAGCUUCAGACAAGAGACACAACAGGAAACUAAAAGUGACCAUUUAUACAACAAUGUUUGCUGACAUACAUGGCUAUUUCAAAGACAAAAAUACUAGGCAGAAAUAGAAAAACACAAAUAGAAACACAAAUAGAAAAAACCAAUUAACCAGUGGAGUUUGUCAUUACCAAUGUCAUCAUUGCUUCCUGAUUUUGGGUGACUCUUUUAAACCCGGCUGUGUUCCCUUCAUUCAGCACGGCAGAGAUGGUCUACCUUCCCAUACCUUCAGCUCUGGCUCCAAUAUUUAUUUUUUAAAAAAUCUUCAGAGAAAUGUAUACCACAAAUAAUAUGUGCAUCUAAAGAAUAUGCCAAUAUAAUUUACAUAUUUUUUCAUAUACUAGGCUGAUAUGCACUUUGUAUGUGUGUAAGAAUGUGAUAUAAUUCUGAGUUUUUACUGCUGUAGUAAUAUUUGGGUGCAUUUCAUGCAAUAGUUCCAUAUGCUACAGAAUGUAGAUACACGUGACUAAAUGAACUCAGAAAAGCACACCCUUUAUGUAGGAUAUAUGAAAGCCUUGCUUACAAAUGCAAAUAAAUUCUUGUUUGUGAAUCU